rnacentral:rRNA from 1 species
GAUGAACGCUGGCGGCGUGCCUAAUACAUGCAAGUCGAGCGAACAGACGAGGAGCUUGCUCCUCUGAUGUUAGCGGCGGACGGGUAAGUAACACGUGGAUAACCUACCUAUAAGACUGGGAUAACUUCGGGAAACCGGAGCUAAUACCGGAUAACAUGUUGAACCGCAUGGUUCAACAGUGAAAGACGGUCUUGCUGUCACUUAUAGAUGGAUCCGCGCCGCAUUAGCUAGUUGGUAAGGUAACGGCUUACCAAGGCAACGAUGCGUAGCCGACCUGAGAGGGUGAUCGGCCACACUGGAACUGAGACACGGUCCAGACUCCUACGGGAGGCAGCAGUAGGGAAUCUUCCGCAAUGGGCGAAAGCCUGACGGAGCAACGCCGCGUGAGUGAAGAAGGUCUUCGGAUCGUAAAACUCUGUUAUUAGGGAAGAACAAAUGUGUAAGUAACUAUGCACGUCUUGACGGUACCUAAUCAGAAAGCCACGGCUAACUACGUG